AGCGGGGUGAUCUACCCAUGGCCAGUGUGAAGCAGCAGUAAGAUGCUGUGGAGGCGCGAACCCACGUAGGUUGAAAACUGCGGGGAUGAGCUGUGGGUAGGGGUGAAAGGCCAAUCAAACUCCGUGAUAGCUGGUUCUCCCCGAAAUGCAUUUAGGUGCAGCGUCGCAUUAGCUUGGUGGAGGUAGAGCUACUGGUUGGUUGAGCGGGACUACAAUCUUAGCAAUGUCAGCCAAACUCCGAAUGCCAUUAAUGUGUUGUGCGGCAGUGAGACUGUGGGGGAUAAGCUUCAUAGUCGAGAGGGAAACAGCCCAGAUCGCCGGUUAAGGCCCCUAAGGGUGUGCUAAGUGGAAAAGGAUGUGGGAUCGCGAAGACAGCCAGGAGGUUGGCUUAGAAGCAGCCAUCCUUGAAAGAGUGCGUAAUAGCUCACUGGUCGAGUGGUUCUGCGCCGACAAUGUAGUGGGGCUCAAGCACACCGCCG
rnacentral:rRNA from 1 species